rnacentral:tRNA from 1 species
GCGUUCGUAGCUCAACUGGAUAGAGCAAUGGACUUCGAAUCCGGAGGUUGCACGUUCAAGUCGUGUCGGACGCA